UACAGAGGGCGCAAGCGUUAUUCGGAUUCACUGGGCAUAAAGAGCACGUAGGCGGCUACGUAAGUCGGAUGUGAAAUCCCGCGGCUCAACCGCGGAAUGGCAUCCGAUACUGCGUGGCUCGAGGUCGGAAGGGGUAAGCGGAACUCCAGGUGGAACGGUGAAAUGUGUAGAUAUCUGGAGGAACACCGGUGGCGAAGGCGGCUUACUGGUCCGAAACUGACGCUGAGGUGCGAAAGCUAGGGGAGCGAACGGG
rnacentral:rRNA from 1 species